rnacentral:lncRNA from 1 species
GAUUAUAAUAAAUGUCAAAGGAGACACUUACAGUUAUUUCUGGCAACGAGUUCAGCUUUCGGACAAAGUCCUUCAAUUCAGAAACUGUUUGAAACUGCAAACAUUAUCAAUUUAGAAUUUUUUUUUCUAUCAAACAAUAUAACUCUCCAAUACAAAAAGCACUGAAGUUCUCGUCUAAAUAAUGUCUCAAAGCCAUCACUAAAUAUUAGGUAUAAUAUAUAUCAUCAGGAAUUGAAAUAUGACAUUACUUAUGCCCAUGUUAAAUUAUUUAAUGAAGCAUUACUUAAGACAACACUGCAUAUGAAAUUGCAAACUAAGAAGUUGAGUUCAAUAUUAGAAUAACUCUAAUCAAAAGAUAAAUUGACCUGACGACACUGAUAAAUAGGAUAGGACAUAGAUACCACAUGGCAUGACAUGGAUGUUGACUUGCAAUAAAAGAAGUUUUCACAAAUGUGAAAAUGGAAGUUACAACUUUAGCAAAAGGUUAAUUUAUAAUUAGCAAAAUUAGUUUUUUCUAAAAGCGCUCGGGAAGUUGUUAUUAGAAUCAUUAAUUUAAUCAUUUCUAGACAAUUUCCUCUAUGUAUACACUGGAUAGUCAAUUUCUAAUUUUGAGGUCUGCUAAUCAACUGUCCUGAAGGUUAUUGAUGUGGGGGGAGUGUUCCAAAUUAUUAGUUUCUGUAAAUUAUAAUGUAACCAAGAUUGGGCAAGAAUGACAACUUGGAUCACAUUCAAAUCGUCUGAUAGAUAUGAAUUUUGAAAAGUGGCAUGCUACUUGAUUGCUAAAAACUUGAAUCCUAUUCAGACACAAUCACCA